UAUAACAAUCUCAUUAUGCCAAUUAAUGGAUCACAGCUAUGGGAGAAGACCAACUAGACAGCAAUAAAGUCACCAGCCUACACUAGACAACCUGGAAGACCUAGAAAGGUGACGAUAAAAGGAGCUGAAGAGAGAAUAGAUAAGACUGUGAAAUAAUGGUUUGGAAGACAAGGAAUGCAAAUGAGGUGUAGUAUUUGUGGCUCAACUGGCCAUAACAAAACCACUCAUCAUCAGAAUCUACCUCAAAAGGAAAAACCCCUUUCAAGGGGUAAAGGAAGACCAAGAAAAAUAUCUAAUCAAGGCCCUGCAGUUGCUGCUGAUAAAGCAAAAACAGCUGUAAGAGUUAGGAGAAAGCUUGUAUAUGCAAGGGCAAAGGCUGCUGCUGCUGCAAAGAAGACUGCACUAAGUGCUUCCUAGCCAAAUGUAGCUGAAAUUGCUGGAAUAGGAUUGAGAGCAUCCAAGAGACAGAGAACAUAGGCUCUUAGUUCUUAGUUCUUAGUUUAUGCAAAUUCCAAUUUAUUUUGAACUAGUACAACUUCUAGUUUUGUGAUGUGGCCUGAUAAGUUUACUUUUGGUAGCUGUUUUAUUGUAUUCCAGAUUAGGUGCUCAUGUUCAUUUUGUAAAUUUGAGCUGCAAAUGUUGGAAAAGUAUGUAUGUAUUUUGAACUCACAAUAUAAUGGAAUUUGCCUUCAAGCAAUUGUUCAA